AGGACGAACGCUGGCGGCGUGCUUAACACAUGCAAGUCGAGCGGAAAGGCCCUUCGGGGUACUCGAGCGGCGAACGGGUGAGUAACACGUGAGCAAUCUGCCCCUAGCUCUGGGAUAGCUCCGGGAAAACCGGGAUUAAUACCAGAUACAACCACUUUAGACAUCUUUUGUGGUGGAAAGGAUUCCGGCUAGGGAUGAGCUCGCGGCCUAUCAGCUUGUUGGUUGGGGUAACGGCCCACCAAGGCGACGACGGGUAGCCGGCCUGAGAGGGCGACCGGCCACACUGGGGACUGAGACACGGCCCAGACUCCUACGGGAGGCAGCAGUGGGGAAUAUUGCGCAAUGGGCGAAAGCCUGACGCAGCGACGCCGCGUGGGGGAUGAAGGCCUUCGGGUUGUAAACCCCUUUCAGCAGGGACGAAGCGAAGUGACGGUACCUGCAGAAGAAGCGCCGGCUAACUACGUGCCAGCAGCCGC
rnacentral:rRNA from 1 species